rnacentral:rRNA from 1 species
UGCAGUCGAACGGACCUUGAUCUUUCGGGAUCUUGGUUAGUGGCGCACGGGUGCGUAACGCGUAUGCAACCUACCUUCCACAGGGGGAUAGCCCGGGGAAACCCGGAUUAAUACCGCAUGACACUACUUGAGGGCAUCCGAAGGUAGUCAAAGCCGAGGCGGUGGAAGAUGGGCAUGCGUGCCAUUAGCUAGUUGGCGGGGUAAAGGCCCACCAAGGCGACGAUGGCUAGGGGUUCUGAGAGGAUGGUCCCCCACACUGGUACUGAGACACGGACCAGACUCCUACGGGAGGCAGCAGUAGGGAAUAUUGGGCAAUGGCCGAGAGGCUGACCCAGCCAUGCCGCGUGCAGGAAGAAGGCCUUCUGGGUUGUAAACUGCUUUUAUCGGGGAAGAAAACGCUCCUGCGGGAGUAACUGACGGUACCCGAUGAAUAAGCACCGGCUAACUCCGUGCCAGCAGCCGCGGUAAUACGGAGGGUGCAAGCGUUGUCCGGAUUUAUUGGGUUUAAAGGGUGCGUAGGCGGCCCGUUAAGUCAGCGGUGAAAUCCCAGGGCUCAACCCUGGAACUGCCGUUGAUACUGGCGGGCUUGAGUUCGGUCGAGGCGGGCGGAACUGGUGGUGUAGCGGUGAAAUGCAUAGAUACCACCAAGAACCCCGAUUGCGAAGGCAGCUCGCUGGCCCGAAACUG